UACGUAGGGGGCAAGCGUUGUCCGGAAUCAUUGGGCGUAAAGCGCGUGUAGGCGGUCCGGUAAGUCGGCUGUGAAAGUCCAGGGCUCAACCCUGGGAUGCCGGUCGAUACUGCCGGACUAGAGUUCGGAAGAGGCGAGUGGAAUUCCCGGUGUAGCGGUGAAAUGCGCAGAUAUCGGGAGGAACACCAAUGGCGAAGGCAGCUCGCUGGGACGUUAUUGACGCUGAGACGCGAAAGCGUGGGGAGCAAACAGG
rnacentral:rRNA from 1 species